rnacentral:rRNA from 1 species
UACGUAGGGGGCGAGCGUUGUUCGGAAUCACUGGGCUUAAAGGGCGCGUAGGCGGGCCAUCAAGUCAGGGGUGAAAUCUUUCGGCUCAACCGGAAAAGUGCCUUUGAUACUGGUGGUCUCGAGGGAGGUAGGGGCAUGCGGAACUUCCGGUGGAGCGGUGAAAUGCGUAGAUAUCGGAAGGAACGCCGGUGGCGAAAGCGGCGUGCUGGACCUCUUCUGACGCUGAGGCGCGAAAGCUAGGGGAGCAAACAGG